GGGACUACAGGCGCCUGCAACCACGCCCGGCUAAUUUUUUGUAUUUUUAGUAGAGACGGAGUUUUUUAGUAGAGACGGGGUUUCACUGUGUUAGCCAGGACGGUCUCGAUUUCCUGACCUCGUGAUCCGCCCGCCUCGGCCUCCCAAAGUGCUGGGAUUACAGGCGUGAGCCACCGCGCCUGGCCUAUUAAAUCCUCUUUAAGGUGGAAUAUAAUUGACAAGCCGACAUCAGUCUCCAGAGUGAAUCCAAGGAGUGGACCCAAGACAUUUGUGUUCUGUGAUGUGGUGGCAUGUUACCUGUCAUCUCCGAUGCAUAACUCCUAAAGUGCGUCUGGGGCAGUUGUACAGAUUGCAGAGGAUAAUACUCAAGAUGUUCUCCAAGGCCAACUAGUCAUCAGUUUAUUCAUGUUUCUGGGAUUGGAUUCAUGAACUCAUCCUUUGAACUAUUUCAACAAGCUUUUUCAUGUAACUAAUCUGCGGAAGGUAGAAAGGGGAAAACUGUUGGGUGCUAAAAUGACAACUGGUUCAAGAGCUCCCAAGAUGGUGGUGGGCCACUUCCAAGAUGGUGGCAAGAGUCGUAUUCUCUGACCUGGGGUUCUUGGUCUCAUGGAUUCCAAGGAAUGGAAUCUUGCGCCAUGUGGAGAAGCGUCAGAUAAUUAGGCAGCAGUCCAACAAUUAGGUUUUGUGGAACUUUUACUAUGUCAUCUAUUUAUUGGAAUUCCCCCUGGAUACCAGGACCCCCUCCAGCAGAGCUUAAAGUUAUAGUUACAGGAAGUACAAAUUCCUUAUGUGGAUCCCUGGAAGUGUGAUGAGAAGAACCACUGUUUCCAAGAUCUAUUUAUUCUAUUUAUCAGGCCUAUAAAAUCAUGUAAUGGCCAUGGCUUCAACUAGACUCCACAUCUUGAAUCACAGAACUCAACGAAUGGCAUCAACUACAAGCUGGUAUUCUGCUAUACAUUUAAGAGGCCAUUUUAAUAUUCUAUUAGUCUAGCAGCUUCUAAGUGAUGAGGGAUAUGGGGGGACUGGAGGAUCCCGUGCUCACUUCCUUUUCUGUAAAAGGAGCUCUUUGAUCCAAGGUGACAUGGUAUGGGAUCCAAUGACAAUAAAUCAGUUAUUCUGUGAACCCUGAUCAAAACUUGACUAAACUUUUGACAGUUAGGUUUUUUCCUGACCACAGACUCCUCACCUUUCUUUUCUUAGAAAAUUUACAUUGGAAAACAGAUGUAAAUUUUCUCCAGCCUCUUGCAAGGUUUACAGUCCAGGACUUUGAGGUCCUGGGAGUCAUCCUUUUGAAAUACAAUCAUCAAAGAAGAUAGUGCUCCAAUCUCCUAGUCUCUGUGGGAGGGUUGGAACCUAACUUCAGUAAACUAAUCACCAAUUAGCAAACACAGAGGGGCUGAUCAUACUGACCCACUUUCCCACUAAAAUGUCUAGUACUUUCCACCAGCUCACCACAGUGCUUAAAAACUCUCCUGUCUUUUGUUUUACUAGAGUUGAGUCCAAUCUCUUUCAUCUAUUGCAAUAGUGUUGAAUAAAGUCUUCCUUGCCUAA
ensembl:lncRNA LINC01320 long intergenic non-protein coding RNA 1320